rnacentral:rRNA from 1 species
UUUAUGGAGAGUUUGAUCCUGGCUCAGAGUGAACGCUGGCGGCGUGCCUAAUACAUGCAAGUCGAACGAUGAAGCUUCUAGCUUGCUAGAAGUGGAUUAGUGGCGCACGGGUGAGUAAGGUAUAGUUAAUCUGCCCUACACAAGAGGACAACAGUUGGAAACGACUGCUAAUACUCUAUACUCCUGCUUAACACAAGUUGAGUAGGGAAAGUUUUUCGGUGUAGGAUGAGACUAUAUAGUAUCAGCUAGUUGGUAAGGUAAUGGCUUACCAAGGCUAUGACGCUUAACUGGUCUGAGAGGAUGAUCAGUCACACUGGAACUGAGACACGGUCCAGACUCCUACGGGAGGCAGCAGUAGGGAAUAUUGCGCAAUGGGGGAAACCCUGACGCAGCAACGCCGCGUGGAGGAUGACACUUUUCGGAGCGUAAACUCCUUUUCUUAGGGAAGAAUUCUGACGGUACCUAAGGAAUAAGCACCGGCUAACUCCGUGCCAGCAGCCGCGGUAAUACGGAG